CGAUGAUAGAAGAGCUUGCUUUUCUUGAUUAGUGGCGCACGGGUGAGUAAUGCAUAGAUAAUGUGCCCCUUAGUUCGGGAUAGCCACUGGAAACGGUGAUUAAUACCGGAUACUCCUUCUCAUUAUAAGAUGAGUCGGGAAAGUUUUUUCGCUAAGGGAUCAGUCUAUGUUCCAUCAGGUAGUUGGUGAGGUAAUGGCUCACCAAGCCUAUGACGGAUAUCUGGUUUGAGAGGAUGAUCAGACACACUGGAACUGAGACACGGUCCAGACUCCUACGGGAGGCAGCAGUGAGGAAUAUUGCACAAUGGAGGAAACUCUGAUGCAGCAACGCCGCGUGGAGGAUGACGCAUUUCGGUGUGUAAACUCCUUUUAUUAGGGAAGAUAAUGACGGUACCUAAUGAACAAGCACCGGCUAACUCCGUGCCAGCAGCCGCGGUAAUACGGAGGGUGCAAGCGUUACUCGGAAUCACUGGGCGUAAAGGGUGCGUAGGCUGGCUUUUAAGUCAGGUGUGAAAUCCAAUGGCUCAACCAUUGAACUGCACUUGAAACUGAAAGCCUAGAGUUCAGAAGGGGCAGAUGGAAUUAGUGGUGUAGGGGGUAAAAUCCGUAG
rnacentral:rRNA from 1 species